AGUGAACGCUGGCGGUAGGCCUAACACAUGCCAGUCGAACGGCAGCACAGAGGGGCUUGCUCCUUGGGUGGCGAGUGGCGGACGGGUGAGGAAUACAUCGGAAUCUACUCUGUCGUGGGGGAUAACGUAGGGAAACUUACGCUAAUACCGCAUACGACCUACGGGUGAAAGCAGGGGAUCUUCGGACCUUGCGCGAUUGAAUGAGCCGAUGUCGGAUUAGCUAGUUGGCGGGGUAAAGGCCCACCAAGGCGACGAUCCGUAGCUGGUCUGAGAGGAUGAUCAGCCACACUGGAACUGAGACACGGUCCAGACUCCUACGGGAGGCAGCAGUGGGGAAUAUUGGACAAUGGGCGCAAGCCUGAUCCAGCCAUACCGCGUGGGUGAAGAAGGCCUUCGGGUUGUAAAGCCCUUUUGUUGGGAAAGAAAUCCAUCUGGUUAAUACCCGGAUGGGAUGACGGUACCCAAAGAAUAAGCACCGGCUAACUUCGUGCCAGCAGCCGCGGUAA
rnacentral:rRNA from 1 species